ensembl:lncRNA
CUCAUGCCCAGUGGAGAAGAGAAUCUCUGGUGGGAGAGAAAUUUGAUAGAUGAUGUAGCUUUUGCUCCUCUCUUGUGCCAGGCCCUGGGAGAGAAACAUACGGGGAGGUUAUUAGUCUACUACUACUACUACUAAGCUGCUUCAGUCGUGUCUGACUCUGUGCGACCCCAUAGACAGCAGCUCACCAGGCUCUGCCAUCCCUGGGAUUCUCCAGGCAAGAACACUGGAGUGGGUUGCUAUUUCCUUCUCCAAUGCAUGAAAGUGAAAAGUGAAAGUGAAGUCGCUCAUUCGUGUCCAACUCUUCUCGACCCCAUGGACUGCAGCCUACCAGGCUUCCCCGUACAUGGGAUUUUCCAGGGAGCAGAGGUCAUUCUAACAGCCUGCCUUCAGUGGAAGGAAAGAACUUUGUGCUUGAAGUGAGGAGUCCUGAGUCCUAAUUCCAGUGGAGUUUUCCAUGUAUGAUUCAUCCUUGAACUUCCCACCAUAUGGCUGGCAUAUAAGAUGUGUCCACUAAUGUGUGACUGAAUGGAUAACAAGCGAUUCAUGGACUUUGUGCAUAUGCCUCUCUGGGUCUCAGUUUCUCCUGCUGGAAAAUCAAAAUGCUGUGGGAGCCCUUCUAGGGAAGAAGAGCCAGAAACGUGCUUUGAAACAUGGGAAGGGAACCACCCAUUGCUCAAGAAGGUGUGUUGGUUCUCCUGGAAUCCCCAACCAGGCUCCUCUCAGAAGGAGCAAAAUGAUUAUUUACCUGCAUCUAUAUGGUUCUGAAGCUAUGAUACUUUGUAUUGGCCACCUGAUGCAAAGAGCUUGCUCAUUAGAAAAGACCCUGAUGCUGGGAAAGAUUGAAGGCAGGACGAGAAGGGGACGACAAAGGAUGAGAUGGUUGGAUGGCAUCACCAACUAGAUAGACAUGAACUUGAGCACACUCUGGGAGUUGGUAAUGGACAGGGAAGCCUGGAAUGCUGCAGUCCAUGAGGUCACAGAGUCAGACACGAAUGAAUGAAAGAACUGAACUGAUACGGUUUUGAAAAAACAGAUACUAAUUAUUAAUUCACUGGGGAAAAUUUGACAUCUCACAUUAACUUUUUUGGGUUUAAGAGUUAAAAACUGAUUUUCAAAAGGUUAACUUAUGAAAACCUCAGCCCAUACACACUUGCUCAGUUAGCCUUUGUAAGGUUCCGUCAGAUGGCACUAGGUCCACUGGCCAUCAGUGGAGGUAGGCGUGGAAGAAAGGAGUUUUGGACCUUGAAUGUAGGGAUCCAGAGGGCACUGAGCAGGUAGACUUUCAGAGAAGUGGACCAAAGCACCUGCUUCACCACCGUCUUAGCCCUGGAGGUAGACAACCCUCGCCCAAAUUCUCAGUGCUUCUGUUUCAUUCCACACUUCCCUGUUUAUUUAAUUUCACUGGCUUUUAGUCAGAAAUUGACUGUGUAAAAUAUUUGGCAUAGAAAGUAAAGUGAAACACUGAAAAUCCAAGGCAACAGGAUAUAAACAGUGAACACAAUAUCCUUGGCCAGUGACUUCUUGUUUCCUCUCCUUAGCAGUGCUGUGGAUUCUCAGCACACUCUGAGAGACCUGAGUGAGCCCUGCUUGUGGUCUGUGAACCUUAUAGGACUCACAGUCCUCUAUUUGCAGGAUCCUUGUUACCAAGGAAAUGGAAACUGGGCCAAAAAUAGAAAUGAUGCCCAUUUGCAAAAUCCUAAAGGAAACAUAGAAACUGGCAACAAUGGGCAAGCCACUCUUGUGGGUUCUUAUUUCUCAGAUAAACAUGCCUUAAUUUAAGAAUCACCCUUGUUAUAAUAUUAAUUCCUUCUAUUCAAUUUUCAAAUUUACAUAAACAUUACUUAAAACUGAUUAGGCAAGGCUUAGAAGAAACAAUUAUUUUCCAUCUAAUUAAACAGCAAAAAUGCCAGGCUAAUUAUUAAACAAAUUAAUGGAAAUGUCAGAGGAUUUAUAUUGCAAAUUUAAUCCAUUUGAAUAUCUCCUCUUUAAGAGCUCAUUUUGUACAAACAUCCAUAAAAUUUUUUCCUUUGGAGAAAUGCUGUCCUUUCCUUUCUGUGGAAUCCAUUGUUUCAAGUCUGGUGGGAAGGUCCCAGGGAAGCAAGAGUUACAGAGAGACUGCCCAUUUUCUUAUUUUCCAG